CUCUUCCCUCUCUUCUGCUUCGGCCACCACUGUAGUGUCGCGCCACCACCACCUCACCGACGACCACCCCUCGUCGAACCCAACCUCCCCACUACGCCUCUCUCUCCCUCUCCUCCUCCCCCGUAACGAGCCUCCUUCCCUCUCGGCUUCUCCACAUCGUCGUCGCAACCCGCACCCAAGACACCACCGUUCAUUGUCGACGGCACUGACAGCCCUCGCAGGCUCCCUUCGUUCAUCCCCCAGCUCCCCCACGAUCUCUCCCUUCCCCGUAGCUUCCUCUUUCUCUCACGAGUCUCCACCACCCAGAUCCGCUGCCAAAAGCCCACCUCUCUGCCACUCCCUUUCUUCUGUGCCAAGCACUCGACACCUCCAACCCCAAUGCCUCUCUCAGCCCCUCCAAAUAGCCCUUGCUCAGCAUUUUUCCCACGUAUUUGGUCUUCGUGUUGGUGUCAAUUUGGCCUUGGCUAUUGCCCUGCACAACAUUCCAGAGGUUCCAACUCAUAUUGGAAAGCUAAUUGCUGACAAGCAGUUUUAUGCUGCAGUUCCAUGUUUUGUACUUCAAACUGUAUGUUUUCUAGCCUUUUUUUUCCUGUAAUCCCACUUCUAUAAGGUUAAUUGUAUCUUUUAUUUGUUUUUUUUU